AGCGAACGCUGGCGGCAGGCCUAACACAUGCAAGUCGAGCGGCCGUAGCAAUACGGCAGCGGCAGACGGGAGAGUAACACGUGGGAACGCGCCCUUCGGUCUGGAAUAACCCAGGGAAACUUGGGCUAAUACCGGAUACGCCCUUACGGGGAAAGAUUUAUUGCCGAAGGAACGGCCCGCGUCCGAUUAGCUAGUUGGUGAGGUAACGGCUCACCAAGGCGACGAUCGGUAGCUGGUCUGAGAGGAUGACCAGCCUCACUGGGACUGAGACACGGCCCAGACUCCUACGGGAGGCAGCAGUGGGGAAUAUUGGCCAAUGGGCGCAAGCCUGAGCCAGCCAUGCCGCGUGGGUGAUGAAGGCCCUAGGGUUGUAAAGCCCUUUCAGCGGGGAAGAUAAUGACGGUACCCGCAGAAGAAGCCCCGGCUAACUUCGUGCCAGCCGCCGCGGUAAUAC
rnacentral:rRNA from 1 species